GAAGUGUGGACGCCAGUCUGCAUGGAGCCGACCUUGAAAUACCACCCUUUAAUGUUUGAUGUUCUAACGUUGACCCGUAAUCCGGGUUGCGGACAGUGUCUGGUGGGUAGUUUGACUGGGGCGGUCUCCUCCUAAAGAGUAACGGAGGAGCACGAAGGUUGGCUAAUCCUGGUCGGACAUCAGGAGGUUAGUGCAAUGGCAUAAGCCAGCUUGACUGCGAGCGUGACGGCGCGAGCAGGUGCGAAAGCAGGUCAUAGUGAUCCGGUGGUUCUGAAUGGAAGGGCCAUCGCUCAACGGAUAAAAGGUACUCCGGGGAUAACAGGCUGAUACCGCCCAAGAGUUCAUAUCGACGGCGGUGUUUGGCACCUCGAUGUCGGCUCAUCACAUCCUGGGGCUGAAGUAGGUCCCAAGGGUAUGGCUGUUCGCCAUUUAAAGUGGUACGCGAGCUGGGUUUAGAACGUCGUGAGACAGUUCGGUCCCUAUCUGCCGUGGGCGCUGGAGAACUGAGGGGGGCUGCUCCUAGUACGAGAGGACCGGAGUGGACGCAUCACUGGUGUUCGGGUUGUCAUGCCAAUGGCACUGCCCGGUAGCUAAAUGCGGAAGAGAUAAGUGCUGAAAGCAUCUAAGCACGAAACUUGCCCCGAGAUGAGUUCUCCCUGACCCUUUAAGGGUCCUGAAGGAAC
rnacentral:rRNA from 1 species